rnacentral:tRNA from 5 species
GGAGGGGUACUCAAGCGGCGAAGAGGGGGACUUGCUAAGUCUCUAGUACCUUAACAGGUAGCGAGGGUUCGAAUCCCUUCCCCUCCU